rnacentral:ribozyme from 1 species
CGUGACGAAUGUCGCGUUCAAUCCCUCCACGGCGUUCCCCGCGGGAAGAUCUGAGGCUGGUUUGCCGAUCGGCUUGCAGGCCGUGGGCGCUGAGUAUGCAGAUUACACCACGAUCAGAUUCGCUGAGUGCUUGGCCAGAGAAGCUCCAGAUCUGU